UUUGCUCUCUGUACAACACAAAUACACCGAUAAACAUCCAAGUUCAACAAAAAGUGAUUGAUCGCCCAAAAGAAUACAAGACACAGUCAAAUCCAACACAUGGAUUUGGAAGCCAAGGUCCAGUCUAAGCUACCUAACAGGCCAUAACUGAUUUUCUUUUCUUCUUGAUAUAAACUUCUAAGUUGGCGGGCAGUCACUUCAUUCUUCAAUUUGGGAAAUAUUAAUGGUAGUAUGCAAAAGUUGUUAAAGAAAGUGUGCGACAUGGCAUUGCAUGUCUAAUUAAGGAUAAUUGCCUAAGGUCAAGAGCUUGCUACAUUGUCUUGCAUAUUUUUAUGGUAUCUUUACACAAAUAGCCGGUAAUAUUCAUUAUUUAUUUUUU
rnacentral:lncRNA from 1 species